AGAGUUUGAUCCUGGCUCAGAUUGAACGCUGGCGGCAUGCCUUACACAUGCAAGUCGAACGGCAGCACGGGAGCAAUCCUGGUGGCGAGUGGCGAACGGGUGAGUAAUAUAUCGGAACGUGCCCAAUCGUGGGGGAUAACGCAGCGAAAGCUGUGCUAAUACCGCAUACGAUCUACGGAUGAAAGCGGGGGACUCAGCAAUGAGCCUCGCGCGAAUGGAGCGGCCGAUAUCAGAUUAGCUAGUUGGUGGGGUAAAGGCUCACCAAGGCGACGAUCUGUAGCUGGUCUGAGAGGACGACCGGCCACACUGGAACUGAGACACGGUCCAGACUCCUACGGGAGGCAGCAGUGGGGAAUUUUGGACAAUGGGCGCAAGCCUGAUCCAGCAAUGCCGCGUGCAGGAUGAAGGCCUUCGGGUUGUAAACUGCUUUUGUACGGAACGAAACGGUCCGCCUUAAUACGGUGGGCUAAUGACGGUACCGUAAGAAUAAGCACCGGCUAACUACGUGCCAGCAGCCGCGGUAAUACGUAGGGUGCGAGCGUUAAUCGGAAUUACUGGGCGUAAAGCGUGCGCAGGCGGUUUUUCAAGUCUGAUGUGAAAGCCCCGGGCUUAACCUGGGAACUGCGUUGGAAACUGAAAGACUAGAGUGCG
rnacentral:rRNA from 1 species